UUGAAAUCGCGAGCGCAGUCGCAAUCGCAGCCUCUGUCAGCGUCGGCAUCGGCGUCAGCGACGGCAGCACAGUGACGGAGCAGCAACAGCUUUUGCCAGCGUAAAGCCCACUUAAUUCCAGGAAAUUUAGUCUUUAAAUGCUGCACAUAAUUGUUCCCUCUCGAGUUGUGGCCACUUCGCAUUGUCGAGAGACUCCAAAGGCUGCCAGACAAGCAGGAAAAGACGGUUUUUUCUGUCUUCUUCUACCUCUCUUGUUGCCAAAUGAAAAUUCCAUCAGCGUCUAGAGUGUUAGAGCUGUAUGGAUAUAUAUUGAAAACAAUGACAACAGUUCAUAGAUGAACAAGUCGAAAGAUGAAAUAUGAAGACUAGAAGUGAACUCUAGGCACUCUAUGAGGUCCAUGCCCAUAGAAAAGUUACUGCUUUUGAAAACUCGCAUUGCGAUGCCCUUCAAAAACCGAAGCACUGUCACAAUUUCAUUCAUCCAUCGUCGACGUCUACUCCCCAAUAAAUAAAGAUAUAAAAAAAUAUCACAAGAUAAUUUUCAAUUUUCAAUGGAUUGUCCCCAGCGCCCAAUAACCAAUAGACCCCCUCCCUCAGCAUAGCCCCGUCCCCGGCAGCACUUGAGCAUAAUUCAAAAUGCCAGCAAAACAUAUUCUUCAUAUUCGGAAAAGGCGGAAAAGGAGAGCCAAACUCUGGACUGUGUGCAAAAGUAUUUGAAGCGCAAAUAUCACACUUUGACAUUGUCUGCGUGGGUCCAGGUCGACUCAGGAUACGCUCUUUGGAGGGUUUGCGGUUUCCACUGCCUAGGCACAAUUACGAGCCAUGUGUAUUGCCAAUAAACGUCGCGCCCCAAACCCACUGAGACCGCCUCCUUUGUCGAACGGAAGAGCCGCGGGCGCAAAAACACUUUGUAAUACAUAUUUAGGCAAGACAAGGUGAAGCGGAGAAGGGCGGGGGCAAGAGGGUGCGCGGGCGUUGGAUCUGUGGCAACAACUCGCGUGUCAAAAGGCAAAGCUCGAAAUGGGGGUUGACUGCUGCCUGAUGACUGGUUGAUUGAGGGUGGCUAAAACGAGGGGGGUGGCUGGGCGGCUGGGAGGCAGGGAGGCAGGGUGUUAGCUGGGCUGGUUGGGCAAUGUCUGUGACUGACACGCCGCAUGCCACAAAAUAUAUACAUAUAUAUAUGGAGGAAUAUAUCAUUUGCCCAUCAGCAUUUCGUCACGCAAAGUGUGUAAAUAAGUUCAUCAAGAAUUUGAUUGAGCGAGCCCUUUGCGGGGCCAGGUGCGCCGCCUGCUGGUAAUUAAAAAUCUUGAGCAGAAAGGUAACAACGAUUUAAUUCAAUUGGUUAGCCAAACACAAAUCGAAUUUGAAAAUAAAAUAAAAUGAAAUAAAAUUCGUGCCCUCAAGCGGACACAGAAAUUCGUACAAUGCAUUGAGAGAUUCAUUCAUUGUGUGCUUAUGCACCACUGGCAAGGAUAACUGUCUGACUGGCUGGUCCUUUACCUCGUCCUGGGCAAGACAAAUGGGGGUGCAAAUCGUCUACACACUCACUCACACACUCACACACACACAGUCAUCGCUGACCCAAGCCACGUUGUUGUACUCGACUCGAGCUGUAACGGAUGCAUUUAAUUUAUUAUUAGAAUUAUUUAUGACAAACGUCGUCGGGGUUUGGGUUUGGUUUGCGUUUCGAGUUUGAGUUUGAGUUUGGGUUUGGGUUGAUAAAAAAGCCGUUAUUGUUAAGUUUAUUAGAGCAGAGAACCAGCAGCAGUCGCUCAAAGGGGUGCACAGUGGUUGCCAUCAGCACUCCAGCUGGUCACCAGGCUAAGGCAAUGGCAAAGGCAAUGGCAAUGGCCUAUGUGUGACUUCAUAUAAUAGGUUUCAAGUAAUCCCUGAUGGAUUACUCUACAGUGGGUGGCAAGCAAUUUGAUCAGAUUUAACUUUAAGCAGUUCAGAAAUUAAUUAUAUGAGACUAACAUAUGGCUCAAGAUACAAACGUGCCCAGUCAUAACAGAUUUGUAUAUCAUCUUAUAAAUAUAAGGAUGAUAUGGUAUGUGGAUAGUUGAGGAUAUAGCUAAUCAUGUUUUAAGAGAUUUAU